rnacentral:misc_RNA from 1 species
GGCCGAUCAAGAUUGAACUCACACGGCACCGCCAGCCCGCCGCCAUCUCCAGCCGUAAUUGUGAUCGGAAAAAGCAAAGUGAGAAGAAGAGUAAGGUGAGAGAUAUCAACGGCUGUAAGUUGGGAUCGCAAAACAAGCUCAGAGGACAACUUAUUAUUAAUACUGAAAUCUUGAGAGCUCAAAGGAGUUUUUCGAUGUCGCAGAAAUUCUCUGCCACACUCAGAAUUGGGGAUUUGAAUGAUUACAUAGCUCCCUCACAGGGUUGUGUAGUUUCCCUCAAAACUAAUUCUAAUAGAAUCAACAAAUCCGAGAAUGUGGGAAAAGCUGGAGCUUUGAGCAAACCAGUACAAACAGAACCCGUCAAAAUUUCUCUCAAAGAUUGCUUGGCGUGCAGUGGGUGCAUUACAUCAGCAGAAACAGUCAUGCUUGAGAAGCAGAGCUUAGAUGAGUUCCUUUCCAAUUUGGAAAAGGGAAGGACGGUUAUUGUCUCUCUCUCACCCCAGUCUAGGGCCGCUCUCGCUGUUCAUUAUGGACUUUCUUCACUUCAGGUUUUCAGGAAGCUCACAACACUUUUUAAGUCUCUGGGUGUGAAUGCUAUAUUUGAUACCAGCUGCAGUAGAGACUUGACCCUAAUAGAAUCUUGUAACGAGUUCAUGGAGCGAUAUAAACAAUCCCAAUGUACUAGUAGUGGUGAGUCAAAGCCACCUUUACCUAUGCUUUCUUCCGCAUGUCCAGGUUGGAUAUGUUAUGCU